rnacentral:rRNA from 2 species
UUCCGGUUGAUCCUGCCGGAGGCUACUGCUAUCGGGGUUCGAUUAAGCCAUGCGAGUUAAAUGUUCUUCGUGAACAUAGCGAACUGCUCAGUAACACGUGGAUAACCUACCCUUAGGACCGGAAUAACCCCGGGAAACUGGGGAUAAUACCGGAUAAGCCAUAGACGCUGGAAUGCCCUAUGGUUCAAAGCUCCGGCGCCUAAGGAUGGAUCUGCGGUCUAUCAGGUUGUAGUGGGUGUAACGUACCUACUAGCCGACGACGGAUACGGGUUGUGAGAGCAAGAGCCCGGAGAUGGAUUCUGAGACACGAAUCCAGGCCCUACGGGGUGCAGCAGGCGCGAACACUUUACAAUGCGGGAAACCGCGAUAAGGGAACCCCGAGUGCCAGCAUCAAAUGUUGGCUGUCCGGAUGAUUAAAAAUCAUUUGUUAGCAAGGGCCGGGCAAGACCGGUGCCAGCCGCCGCGGUAACACCGGCGGCCCGAGUGGUAGCCGUUUUUAUUGGGUCUAAAGGGUCCGUAGCCGGCCUGAUCAGUCCUUUGGGAAAUCUGGCAGCUUAACUGUCAGGCUUCUAAGGGAUACUGUCAGGCUUGGGACCGGAAGAGGUAAGGGGUACUCCAGGGGUAGGAGUGAAAUCUUGUAAUCCCUGGGGGACCAUCUGUGGCGAAGGCGCCUUACCAGAACGGGUCCGACGGUGAGGGACGAAAGCUAGGGGAGCAAACCGGAUUAGAUACCCGGGUAGUCCUAGCUGUAAACGAUGCUCGCUAGGUGUCAGACACGGUGCGACCGUGUUUGGUGCCGCAGGGAAGCCGUUAAGCGAGCCACCUGGGAAGUACGGUCGCAAGGCUGAAACUUAAAGGAAUUGGCGGGGGAGCACUACAACGGGUGGAGCCUGCGGUUUAAUUGGAUUCAACGCCGGA